UACGGAGGGUGCGAGCGUUGUCCGGAAUCACUGGGCGUAAAGGGCGCGUAGGCGGCUCGUUAAGGGUGCGGUGAAAGCCCGGGGCUUAACCCCGGGUCGGCCGUGCCGACUGAUGAGCUCGAGCACUGUGGAGGCAGGUGGAAUUCCGGGUGUAGCGGUGGAAUGCGUAGAGAUCCGGAAGAACACCAGUGGCGAAGGCGGCCUGCUGGGCAGUGGCUGACGCUGAGGCGCGACAGCGUGGGGAGCAAACAGG
rnacentral:rRNA from 1 species